AGGAGUUGAAGAGGUGCGUCGGGAGGAUCGAGCGGUAGAGGCGGAGAGAAGAAGAGAGGCGAGGCGGGGCUCGUUUGCGGCGAGGGCCGCCGCAGACGUUGUGAAUUAUGGAUGCUUUUGCGAGGAGCAAGAAGGUGAGGACGAACGGCAGCGUGAAGACGAAGGAGAAGCCCGUUUGUGCGAGCUUCACGUUGAGAAGGGAGAAGAAUGUAGAGGUGACGGGAAACCUCGCGGCCUGGAACAGCGACCGCAGGCGGGACGAGAUGGUCUCGAGGACUGUCGUGGAGUAAGGGAUUGGUGCCUGGGAAAGGAGGAGGGAGGCUGA
rnacentral:lncRNA from 1 species